UACGGAGGGUGCGAGCGUUGUCCGGAAUCACUGGGCGUAAAGGGCGCGUAGGCGGCGCGGGUAGUCAACGGUGAAAGCUUGGGGCUCAACCCCGAGUCGGCCGUCGAUACUCCCGUGCUUGAGCACUGUAGAGGCAGGUGGAAUUCCGGGUGUAGCGGUGGAAUGCGUAGAGAUCCGGAAGAACACCGGUGGCGAAGGCGGCCUGCUGGGCAGUUGCUGACACUGAGGCGCGACAGCGUGGGGAGCAAACAGG
rnacentral:rRNA from 1 species